GAGGGUAUAGCUCAGUGGUAGAGAGCAUGCUUAGGACACACGAGGUCCUGGGUUCAAUACCCAGUACCUCCG
rnacentral:tRNA from 1 species